CCUUGGCCAUACGCCAGUCCAUGGAAACAAACUCUCCCACUUGCUGUCUCUAGCAGCUUAGCAAACUAACAAAUUAUUUUCAGGGUUUCAAGAACAUCGGCCGAGAUCUUUUAUUACGGGCUCUUGCAUGUCAGCGGAUCUAAGCCCAGAUUAGCCUCUCUUCACUCUCCUCGUACACAUCUCUUCCUCGCUCAAAUCACACCAGAUUUAGUGUUCGUAGUACAAUUUUCGGUUGGGCUCGGAGAACUGUGCAGCUUCUCGUUCUAUGCUCAGCUUCGGAGCCCAAUUAGAAUGCCGAAUCCGAAACCGGAAACGACGUCAUCUCCACCGUUGUCUUCGAUUGAUUGGGUUUCUCGAAACGACCUUCUUGACGUUUCAGGAUAAAGGUUUGGUCUUUAUGAUUACGUCGUCGUUUUAGCUACUUCCCAACUUCAUAACUAUCUUAAUUCCAACACCCAGAACAAGGAAAAAGAAAAUUUUCCACUAUGUUUCGAGAAAAGGUUUGGUUUUUUUUAUUGUGAAUUUGUGAUUUUCCUUUUGAUUUUGUCAGUGCUCCACUUCCAUUGUUUUGAAUGCUUCCAUAUGGAUUAGUUGCCACACAUAGUAUACAACUAUUGACUGCAAAGAGUUUACCUUUUGGAUUUGGGAAAUCUAAUGCUAGCAUGGUUUUACUUGGGACUACAACCUCCAUGGCAGCUGCUAGUGCUUGUUUCUUGUACAUUCUUAGCACACAGUUUUCAGGAACUUCAUGCUUCGUAUUGUUUGUUAUCGGCUUUCCUUUACUUUAGCUUAUUUUCAUCACUUUAAAGCUUAGCUAUGAAUGCUAUUCGAUUUGUUUUCUUUGGUUU